AACGAACGCUGGCGGCAUGCCUAACACAUGCAAGUCGAACGAGACCUUCGGGUCUAGUGGCGCACGGGUGCGUAACGCGUGGGAAUCUGCCCUUGGGUUCGGAAUAACAGUGAGAAAUUACUGCUAAUACCGGAUGAUGUCUUCGGACCAAAGAUUUAUCGCCCAGGGAUGAGCCCGCGUAGGAUUAGCUAGUUGGUGGGGUAAUGGCCUACCAAGGCGACGAUCCUUAGCUGGUCUGAGAGGAUGAUCAGCCACACUGGGACUGAGACACGGCCCAGACUCCUACGGGAGGCAGCAGUGGGGAAUAUUGGACAAUGGGCGAAAGCCUGAUCCAGCAAUGCCGCGUGAGUGAUGAAGGCCUUAGGGUUGUAAAGCUCUUUUACCCGGGAUGAUAAUGACAGUACCGGGAGAAUAAGCUCCGGCUAACUCCGUG
rnacentral:rRNA from 1 species